CAAACGACUCUCGGCAACGGAUAUCUCGGCUCACGCAUCGAUGAAGAACGUAGCAAAAUGCGAUACUUGGUGUGAAUUGCAGAAUCCCGUGAACCAUCGAGUUUUUGAACGCAAGUUGCGCCCGAAGCCUUUUGGCCGAGGGCACGUCUGCCUGGGCGUCACGCA
rnacentral:rRNA from 3 species